AUGUCUAUCCCUCCUGAAGAAGUAAAAGAAGCUGUUGUAGAUGAAGAUGAAGAACAUGAGAUUCAUUUGCCUAUUGUCAUACCAGAGCGUGAUGUGUCAGGUUUACCCAAUCCUCUCGAUGACAUGCGUCCUUAUGAUUCCUUUGCUUCUACCUUGCAUUGCAUGAUGCCACCUGUUAAAGUAGAUUUGAAAAAGUAUUUGCUUGGAUAUGAUCAUAUAUACCCUGUUAGUGGCAUUACUCACAUUAAUGAUGAUCACAGUUACUUUCCUUGUGCUAGACCUAUGCUUAAUGAAACAUAUCAUUCUUAUGCUAGUCUUGAGCUUAAUGAAAAAUAUCAUCCUCAUGUUAGUGUUGACUUUGCUGAUUUCUACCAUCCUAAACAUGUGCUUUAUAGCUAUGCUUAUGUAAUUGGAUAUUCGAUUGAUGACUUGGAGGGUAUUAUCCCUACCACUUGCAUUGUCUCUUUUGUUGAGUGCUCUUUCAGGUUCUUGCUUGUGCACGAAUCACUACAUGCUGACCAAGUUCGAGAUGACAUUCCCUGGGACCCCGGUGGACCCAUGGCAUGGGGAUGA
rnacentral:rRNA from 1 species